rnacentral:rRNA from 1 species
CCUACGGGGGGCAGCAGUGAGGAAUAUUGGUCAAUGGGCGAGAGCCUGAACCAGCCAAGUCGCGUGAAGGAUGACGGCCCUACGGGUUGUAAACUUCUUUUGUCAGGGAGCAAUUGGGUCCACGCGUGGGCUUAGCGAGAGUACCUGAAGAAAAAGCAUCGGCUAACUCCGUUCCAGCAGCCGCGGUAAUACGGAGGAUGCGAGCGUUAUCCGGAUUUAUUGGGUUUAAAGGGUGCGUAGGCGGAAUAUCAAGUCAGCGGUAAAAAUUCGGGGCUCAACCUCUUCGAGCCGUUGAAACUGGUUUUCUUGAGUGAGUGAGAAGUAUGCGGAAUGCGUGGUGUAGCGGUGAAAUGCAUAGAUAUCACGCAGAACUCCGAUUGCGAAGGCAGCAUACCGGCGCUCAACUGACGCUCAUGCACGAAAGUGUGGGUAUCGAACAGGAUUAGAUACCCCUGUAGUC